GACAGAGGGUGCAAACGUUGUUCGGAAUCACUGGGCAUAAAGCGCACGUAGGCGGUCCACUAAGUCUCAUGUGAAAUCCCCCGGCUCAACCGGGGAAUUGCGCGAGAUACUGGUGGGCUAGAGAUCGGUAGGGGUGAGUGGAACUCCAGGUGGAGCGGUGAAAUGCGUAGAUAUCUGGAGGAACACCGGUGGCGAAAGCGGCUCACUGGACCGACACUGACGCUGAGGUGCGAAAGCUAAGGUAGCAAACGGG
rnacentral:rRNA from 1 species